rnacentral:tRNA from 1 species
GGAGAGGUACCGAAGUGGCCAUAACGGGGGCGCCUCGAAAGCGCUUAGCCUUCGUGAGGAGGCACGUGGGUUCGAAUCCCACCCUCUCCGCCA